CCAUGGCGGCAAGCUGAGAUGGUUCACAGUCUCCACAAGGACCAGACAGUCUGAUUCCACCAGCAGAUGAUCUUCCGUUUUUUCUUUUUGCAGCAAAUAUUUGAGGGUGAGUAUUAGGGCUUGAAUCUCUGUUUGUAGCACGGAGGAUGCUUGGACGCUGCUGGUAAAACCAUCGAUCAGAGUUCCGGAGUGAUCUCGACAUAUACACGCUAUGGCGCCCUUGUUGCUCUAUAUUGGAAAAGCCCAAUCAAUAUUAAUUUUGACGAUGCC
rnacentral:lncRNA from 1 species